rnacentral:rRNA from 1 species
GGCCUAACACAUGCAAGUCGAGCGCCCCACUUGUGGGGAGCGGCGGACGGGUUAGUAACGCGUGGGAACGUGCCCUUUUCUGCGGAAUAGCCUCUGGAAACGGAGAGUAAUACCGCAUACGCCCUUUUGGGGAAAGAUUUAUCGGAGAAGGAUCGGCCCGCGUUAGAUUAGGUAGUUGGUGGGGUAAUGGCCUACCAAGCCUACGAUCUAUAGCUGGUUUGAGAGGAUGAUCAGCAACACUGGGACUGAGACACGGCCCAGACUCCUACGGGAGGCAGCAGUGGGGAAUCUUAGACAAUGGGGGCAACCCUGAUCUAGCCAUGCCGCGUGAGUGAAGAAGGCCCUAGGGUCGUAAAGCUCUUUCGCCUGUGAUGAUAAUGACAGUAGCAGGUAAAGAAACCCCGGCUAACUCCGUGCCAGCAGCCGCGGUAAUACGGAGGGGGUUAGCGUUGUUCG